rnacentral:rRNA from 1 species
GAUGAACGCUGGCGGCGUGCCUAAUACAUGCAAGUCGAGCGAACGGACGAGAAGCUUGCUUCUCUGAUGUUAGCGGCGGACGGGUGAGUAACACGUGGAUAACCUACCUAUAAGACUGGGAUAACUUCGGGAAACCGGAGCUAAUACCGGAUAAUAUUUUGAACCGCAUGGUUCAAAAGUGAAAGACGGUCUUGCUGUCACUUAUAGAUGGAUCCGCGCUUCAUUAGAUAGUUGGUAAGGUAACGGCUUACCAAGGCAACGAUGCAUAGCCGACCUGAGAGGGUGAUAGGCCACACUGGAACUGAGACACGGUCCAGACUCCUACGGGAGGCAGCAGUAGGGAAUCUUCCGCAAUGGGCGAAAGCCUGACGGAGCAACGCCGCGUGAGUGAUGAAGGUCUUCGGAUCGUAAAACUCUGUUAUUAGGGAAGAACAUAUGUGUAAGUAACUGUGCACAUCUUGACGGUACCUAAUCAGAAAGCCACGGCUAACUACGUG